GAAAUGCGAUAAGUAAUGUGAAUUGCAGAAUUCAGUGAAUCAUCGAAUCUUUGAACGCACAUUGCGCCCCCUGGUAUUCCGGGGGGCAUGCCUGUUCGAGCGUCAUUUCACCACUCAAGCCUCGCUUGGUAUUGGGCAACGCGGUCCGCCGCGUGCCUCAAAUCGACCGGCUGGGUCUUCUGUCCCCUAAGCGUUGUGGAAACUAUUCGCUAAAGGGUGUUCGGGAGGCUACGCCGUAAAACAACCCCAUUUCUAAGGUUGACCUCGGAUCAGGUAGGGAUACCCGCCGAACUUAAGC
rnacentral:misc_RNA from 1 species